rnacentral:rRNA from 1 species
GUGAGGAAUUUUCCGCAAUGGGCGAAAGCCUGACGGAGCAAUGCCGCGUGAAGGAUGAAGGCCUAUGGGUUGUAAACUUCUUUUCUCAGAAAAGAAUUAUGACGGUAUCUGAGGAAUAAGCAUCGGCUAACUCUGUGCCAGCAGCCGCGGUAAGACAGAGGAUGCAAGCGUUAUUCGGAAUGAUUGGGCGUAAAGCGUCUGUAGGUUGUUUAAAAAGUAUUCUGUCAAAGAUUAGGGCUUAACCCUAGAUAGGCAGAAUAAACUUUUAAGCUAGAGUUUGGUAGAGGCAGAGGGAAUUCCCGGUGGAGCGGUGAAAUGCGUAGAUAUCGGGAGGAACACCAAAGGCGAAGGCACUCUGCUGGGCCAAUACUAACACUGAGAGACGAAAGCGAGGGGAGCAAAUGGGAUUAGAAACCCUAGUAGUCC